UUUUUUUUUUUUAGUGCUGCUUACUUGGCCCUAUUAAGCUAAAUCACUGCCAUCCAUACACUACUUGAUUAGCAUAUAAAGUACAAAAUAAUCUCAUGAAUUUCUUACAAAUGCUUGCAAUGGACUGAGCAACUUCUUGUUCUUAAAAUUUUGACGAAGUCAGAUCCAAAGAUACGCUCUCUUCUUCAAAAUAGCAGCAGCAGUAGUGAACAAUCUUGGUAUUUUUUCCCCGAGUUUUAGUAUGAAACUCUCAUUUUUCUUAUUGCUUUCGCUGUAACUGCACCCUCCAAUAAGUAAUUCUCGGCAAAUCAUACCUUGGCUUGCAGGCAGCUGAA
rnacentral:lncRNA from 1 species